AUAAUCGUUUCCACAAGCGAAAUGGUGGAAACUAUUGGUGGAAAGAUUCAUGCCUUCAUUGAAAGUGUCAAGUAUGGCUGUGUCGUGUUAUCGUGUAUGUUCGUGAAUCGUGAUAACGGUGAAUCGUGAUAACGGUAUAACUAACUGAUAACUAAAUUUACAUGAGUUAACAUAGUUAUGCUUUCCAACUGAAGCACUUGACUUGAUCAAGCAGUUAACUGUCGAGUUUGCCUUGGAGGAUGUAACGUCUUUUGCUUCUGCCAGUCAUAUUACUUCUAAUCAUUUCAAGCAACAUGUUAUACCCAUCAUACCUCUGCGUCAUGAGGUGAUGGCAAUAACUCAAACAGAUGAAAAUUGAAAUAAAACAUUUAGUUUCGUAAAUACACAUGUAUUCAUUUGA